UCAUUAUGUAAUUCAGAAAAUUAUUUGGAAAAAAGAGUACUGAACAGCUCCAGUCUCUCCUACAUUAUAAAUAGCUGGAGAUUAAUGCACAAACAUUUCUUGGUUAGUUAUAUUUCCUGAAGGAACUCGUUUCAAUCCUGCAUCUGUGGAAAUUCUUAAUAAAAGCAGACAGUUUGCAGAGGAACAAGGUCUAUGUCCAUAUUCUCAUUUAUUAACUCCUAGAAUACGUGGCUUGCAGAUGGCAUUAGAUGGUCUUCGAAGUAAUUUGGAUGCAAUUUAUGAUGUAACUGUGGUAUAUUCCAACACUUUCAAUAAAGGAUUUCGUGUUAAGGCUCCUUCCAUGUUUGGUAAAGAUUAAUUUUUAUAUUAUAUUUUAAAUAUGAAUUGUAUUUUAUUGUUUGAAAUGAAAGCAGAAAAUUAUUUUCUGUUACUCUUUCUGCUCUAUAUGCCCUCCUAGUUUGCACAGGACAAAGAGUUAAAAAUAAAAAUAACAUCAUCCAUCAUAGGUUUGGCCAAGUCCACAUUGGGGAUGGCAGGUAGUGAGGGACAGAGCUUGACAUAUCUGGGAAAGACCACCCCAAAAAUUUCUGGAGCUUUUCAAUUGCUUAGAUUUAAUCCUGUGUCCUCCCAGAGCAGUAAGUUGACACUAAGCACUUCAGCCAUCUGGCUGAUGAAGCAGAAAAUGAUUAGAUUGUAUAUUAUAUACAGUCGAUCCCCCCUAUAACACGGUAGAU